GGAUUCUCCUGGAACCUCACUGCUGAACAUCACAUUAUUCCUGGCUCCUGGAUUUUACCUGGGAAAACUCCUACACCAAAGUUACUCAUCUUGGACUUGACCCUGAAAGGAAAAGAUCAAUACUGUAAGCAGGACACUGAAUCCAUAGCGACAUUCAAGUCAUUUAUUAUUUUUUCAACACAUAAAAAGAUUCUUGGCCAGGAUCCUAGAACACUAAAAAGGAGACUGCCCCACUAGAGACUCCACCUCUGGCUACACAUGCUGGGCUAGACCUUUGGGAAAUUAGGAAGUAAU